rnacentral:rRNA from 1 species
CAUCUUUUCUUGUUAGUUUUUGAAGUAUGGCCUGCCCACUGACUUGGAGUUGAAGGGCCGCGGUAUUUUGACCGUGCAAAGGUAGCAUAAUCAUUAGUUCUUUAAUUGUGAUCUGGUAUGAAUGGCUUGACGAGACAUAAGCUGUCUUAGAAGUAUUGAUUUAUUGAAUUUGGUUUUUGAGUUAAAAUUCUUAAAUGUUUUUAUGGGACGAGAAGACCCUAUAGAGUUUGACAAUUUUCCUAUUUGUUCGUUGUUUGUUUUAUUUACAUUGAGUGGGAGUGAAUUGUUUUGUUGGGGUGAUGGGAGGAAUAUUGUUUAACUCCUCUUUAUUUUUAUAUAUUUAUGUAUAUAUUUUUGAUCCAUUUAUUUUGAUUAUAAGAUUAAAUUACCUUA